ACCGCGAUAGCACAGCUGGUAGAGCUAGUAGAGCAUCUGCCCGGUAUGCGGAGGGUCGCCGGUUCGAUUCCGGCUCGCGGCG
rnacentral:tRNA from 1 species